GACGAACGCUGGCGGCGUGCCUAAUACAUGCAAGUAGAACGCUGAAGAGAGGAGCUUGCUCUUCUUGGAUGAGUUGCGAACGGGUGAGUAACGCGUAGGUAACCUGCCUUGUAGCGGGGGAUAACUAUUGGAAACGAUAGCUAAUACCGCAUAACAAUGGAUGACACAUGUCAUUUAUUUGAAAGGGGCAAUUGCUCCACUACAAGAUGGACCUGCGUUGUAUUAGCUAGUAGGUGAGGUAAUGGCUCACCUAGGCGACGAUACAUAGCCGACCUGAGAGAGUGAUCGGCCACACUGGGACUGAGACACGGCCCAGACUCCUACGGGAGGCAGCAGUAGGGAAUCUUCGGCAAUGGGGGCAACCCUGACCGAGCAACGCCGCGUGAGUGAAGAAGGUUUUCGGAUCGUAAAGCUCUGUUGUAAGUCAAGAACGGGUGUGAGAGUGGAAAGUUCACACUGUGACGGUAGCUUACCAGAAAGGGACGGCUAACUACGUG
rnacentral:rRNA from 1 species